GAGGCUCAGUGGCAGAACAUCUGCCUCGCAUGCAGAAGUCCCGGGAUAAAUCCCAGUGGUCCACCA